rnacentral:rRNA from 1 species
GAUGAACGCUAGCUACAAGCUUAACACAUGCAAGUCGAGGGGAAACGACAUCGAAAGCUUGCUUUUGAUGGGCGUCGACCGGCGCACGGGUGAGUAACGCGUAUCCAACCUGCCCAUCACUUGGGAAUAACCUUGCGAAAGUAAGACUAAUACCCAAUGAUAUCCCACGAAGGCAUCGGAAUGGGAUUAAAGAUUUAUCGGUGAUGGAUGGGGAUGCGUCUGAUUAGCUUGUUGGCGGGGUAACGGCCCACCAAGGCAACGAUCAGUAGGGGUUCUGAGAGGAAGGUCCCCCACAUUGGAACUGAGACACGGUCCAAACUCCUACGGGAGGCAGCAGUGAGGAAUAUUGGUCAAUGGGCGAGAGCCUGAACCAGCCAAGUAGCGUGCAGGAAGACGGCCCUAUGGGUUGUAAACUGCUUUUAUAAGGGAAUAAAGUGGGUCACGUGUGACUUUUUGCAUGUACCUUAUGAAUAAGGACCGGCUAAUUCCGUG